AGGGUUUGAUCAUGGCUCAAAUUGAACGCUGGCGGCAGGCCUAACACAUGCAAGUCGAGCGGUAGAGAGAAGCUUGCUUCUCUUGAGAGCGGCGGACGGGUGAGUAAUGCCUAGGAAUCUGCCUGGUAGUGGGGGAUAACGUUCGGAAACGGACGCUAAUACCGCAUACGUCCUACGGGAGAAAGCAGGGGACCUUCGGGCCUUGCGCUAUCAGAUGAGCCUAGGUCGGAUUAGCUAGUUGGUGAGGUAAUGGCUCACCAAGGCGACGAUCCGUAACUGGUCUGAGAGGAUGAUCAGUCACACUGGAACUGAGACACGGUCCAGACUCCUACGGGAGGCAGCAGUGGGGAAUAUUGGACAAUGGGCGAAAGCCUGAUCCAGCCAUGCCGCGUGUGUGAAGAAGGUCUUCGGAUUGUAAAGCACUUUAAGUUGGGAGGAAGGGUUGUAGAUUAAUACUCUGCAAUUUUGACGUUACCGACAGAAUAAGCACCGGCUAACUCUGUGCCAGCAGCCGCGGUAAUACAGAGGGUGCAAGCGUUAAUCGGAAUUACUGGGCGUAAAGCGUGCGUAGGUGGUUUGUUAAGUUGGAUGUGAAAUCCCCGGGCUCAACCUGGGAACUGCAUUCAAAACUGACUGACUAGAGUAUGGUAGAGGGUGGUGGAAUUUCCUGUGUAGCGGUGAAAUGCGUAGAUAUAGGAAGGAACACCAGUGGCGAAGGCGACCACCUGGACUAAUACUGACACUGAGGUGCGAAAGCGUGGGGAGCAAACAGGAUUAGAUACCCUGAUAGUCCACGCCGUAAACGAUGUCAACUAGCCGUUGAAAGCCUUGAGCUUUUAGUGGCGCAGCUAACGCAUUAAGUUGACCGCCUGGGGAGUACGGCCGCAAGGUUAAAACUCAA
rnacentral:rRNA from 1 species